rnacentral:rRNA from 1 species
CCCUUAGAUGUUCUGGGCCGCACGCGCGUUACACUGAUGCAUUCAACGAGUUUUUUCCUUGGCCGAGAGGCCUGGGCAAUCUUUUGAACGUGCAUCGUGAUAGGGAUAGAUUAUUGCAAUUAUUAAUCUUGAACGAGGAAUUCCUAGUAAACGCAGUUCAUCAAACUGCAUUGAUUACGUCCCUGCCCUUUGUACACACCGCCCGUCGCACCUACCGAUUGAAUGGUCCGGUGAAGCCUCGGGAUUGUGGCUGGUCUCCUUUAUUGGGGGUCGGUUGCGAGAACUUGUCUAAACCUUAUCAUUUAGAGGAAGGUGAAGUCGUAACA